rnacentral:other from 1 species
GACGGGCUGCGGGGUGCGUCAGACCAUCGUUAUCCCUGGGGCCUUAAAUCCACCGUAAGGGAGCUGUCCCUGCCGGUCCCCUGGGAUCGGUAUUCACGGCGCCCACCUGCUGAUGCAGGCCACGGAGGAUCACACGGUCAACGGCUCAGGCGGCCCGUCA